AUUGAACGCUGGCGGCAUGCCUUACACAUGCAAGUCGAACGGGAACGCGGGGCAACCUGGCGACGAGUGGCGAACGGGUGAGUAAUGCAUCGGAACGUGCCCAGUAGUGGGGGAUAGCCCGGCGAAAGCCGGAUUAAUACCGCAUACGACCUAUGGGUGAAAGCGGGGGACCGAAAGGCCUCGCGCUAUUGGAGCGGCCGAUGUCAGAUUAGGUUGUUGGUGGGGUAAAGGCCUACCAAGCCGACGAUCUGUAGCUGGUCUGAGAGGACGACCAGCCACACUGGGACUGAGACACGGCCCAGACUCCUACGGGAGGCAGCAGUGGGGAAUUUUGGACAAUGGGCGCAAGCCUGAUCCAGCCAUGCCGCGUGCGGGAAGAAGGCCUUCGGGUUGUAAACCGCUUUUGUCAGGGAAGAAACGCGCUGGGUUAAUACCUCGGCGUAAUGACGGUACCUGAAGAAUAAGCACCGGCUAACUACGUGCCAGCCGCCGCAGUAAAAC
rnacentral:rRNA from 1 species